GCGUAAAGAGUUGCGUAGGUGGCAUUGUAAGUUGGUAGUGAAAGCGUGCGGCUCAACCGCAUACACAUUACCAAAACUGCAAAGCUUGAGGACGAGAGAGGCAUCUGGAAUUCCUAGUGUAGGAGUGAAAUCCGUAGAUAUUAGGAGGAACACCGAUGGCGUAGGCAGGGUGCUGGCUCGUUCCUGACACUAAGGCACGAAAGCGUGGGGAGCAAACGGGAUUAGAUACCCCGGUAGUCCACGCCGUAAACUAUGGAUGCUAGCUGUAUUCGGUAUCGACCCCGGAUGUAGCGAAGCUAACGCGUUAAGCAUCCCGCCUGUGGAGUACGAGCGCAAGCUUAAAACAUAAAGGAAUUGACGGGGACCCGCACAAGCGGUGGAGCGUGUUGUUUAAUUCGAUGGUAAACGAAGAACCUUACCCAGGCUUGACAUCCUAGGAAGGUCUCCGAAAGGAGACUGUGCCUUGUGAGCCUAGUGACAGGUGAUGCAUGGCCGUCGUCAGCUCGUGUCGUGAGAUGUUUGGUUAAGUCCAUCAACGAGCGCAACCCUUAUGUUUAGUUGAAUUUCUCUAAACAGACUGCCCUGGUAACAGGGAGGAAGGGGGGGAUGAUGUCAGGUCA
rnacentral:rRNA from 1 species